AAGGUUUUAAGUUAUUAAACUAGUAGCCUUCAAAGUUACCAUAAAGAGUAACUUACCCUCUUAAACCUUA
rnacentral:tRNA from 1 species